rnacentral:rRNA from 1 species
AGUCGUAACAAGGUCUCCGUAGGUGAACCUGCGGAGGGAUCAUUACAAGAACGCCCGGACUUCGGCCUGGUUAUUCAUAACCCUUUGUUGUCCGACUCUGUUGCCUCCGGGGCGACCCUGCCUUCGGGCGGGGGCUCCGGGUGGACACUUCAAACUCUUGCGUAACUUUGCAGUCUGAGUAAACUUAAUUAAUAAAUUAAAACUUUUAACAACGGAUCUCUUGGUUCUGGCAUCGAUGAAGAACGCAGCGAAAUGCGAUAAGUAAUGUGAAUUGCAGAAUUCAGUGAAUCAUCGAAUCUUUGAACGCACAUUGCGCCCCCUGGUAUUCCGGGGGGCAUGCCUGUUCGAGCGUCAUUUCACCACUCAAGCCUCGCUUGGUAUUGGGCAACGCGGUCCGCCGCGUGCCUCAAAUCGUCCGGCUGGNUCUUCUGUCCCCUAAGCGUUGUGGAAACUAUUCGCUAAAGGGUGUUCGGGAGGNUACGCCGUAAAACANCCNCAUUUCUANGGUUGACCUCGGAUCAGGUAGGGAUACCCGC